rnacentral:tRNA from 1 species
UACUGUUAAUAAAAAAAUUGAUUUUAAUCUAGUUAAAAGAAGUCUUAUAAGGAGCCGCUAACUAACUUAAGAACAUUAAUUUGUUAACUUCUUG